CUCACUCCCUAUGCGUAUGAAAUCGUACGCAAAACUAAACACUGGGAUGCGUACUCAUGCGUACGCAGAGAGCUGCGUACAAAUGUUACGCCGCUAUCAAAUACAUGUAAAUACUCGCCGAUUCCCGACAAAUCGAUCCCUAGGCUAUAUUUAGGUGUCCAAACUGAUCGUAGUAUCUACUCUGUACAGUAUAUUAACGCAAACGCUAAAAAAAGAUGAGACAUUUGACGUUUUACGAGUUGAGAGAGAGAGACAUAGAGAGAGAUGCACUUACUGAGCGAAUGCCUAGAAUACAGUGGGAUUCGGUCAGAAUUCUUCACUAAAAAGACCAACAUAAUCGCUUUAUUAAAACCCUUCCUGAGCAAUGAUGUCUGAGGUAAAUAUAAGCGUGCUAUACACUGGAGCACAGUAUGUUCAGGCCUGCCACAGAGUAAGGGACGGAGAUACACACCAAUGAGCACACACGUUAUUAUUAAUUAAUAAUAAUAAUAGUAUUAAUAUUAGUAAUUAAUAUAUUAUUCAUAAUUCUGUUAUUAAUUAAUAAACUAUGAGAGUUUAAUAGUUUCAUAGUUUAGGGUUUGUUCGGUUUGUUUUUGGCUACUUUUUUCUGAUGUGUGGAGACAAACGUAAUUUUCACCUAAACGUAUUCCUUCUUUUAUUCUCUGUUUCUGGUUCUUCUCAGGUUCUGAUAUGCCUAAAUGAACUGAUUAGUAUCCAAGCUCAAAUAAUGAUGGAUUUUACAUCUUCAGAAGUGAUGUGCGAGGUUGCCAAUUUAACAAAGGAAUUUACUUUUAGUCAUUCUUGUUCGUUUUAGUUAACCUCACUUGUAACAGGAAUUCAUUCAUAAUAGACCACGUAUGGAAACAUCCCAAUAUAUGUAUGUAUUUAGUUAACAAGAAUGUGCUCAGACAAAGACUCUUACUGUGAAGUUCUGGUUGCAUUGGUAAGGUUGCUAUCCAAUUUGAGCGCGAUUGCGACCAUCGAUAUCAAGGUUUUGAAGCAAAGAUCGUUUAAGGGAGGGUCUAAGUUAGGGCACUACAUUUCAUACAGCCUCAUUUAUGAAAGCUAAUGCAUUGAAGUGAAAGUGAGCGCCCCCCAUCUUUCGGACUGUGUGCACUUCCGCCCGAUCCUCUGGACACGGAACCACAGCUCGCUUUUCCCUCCACACGACCUUUCAGAUCCCUCCUCACAUCCAUCUAUCUCUCUAUCCUUUAUAGCGACCCAACGACACUUUUAAGAGCCACUCGUCUGUCUGUCUAUCCAUACAUCCGUUUAUAAUCUGAUUAUAGAUAAUCAAUUUGUCUAUCUACCUAUCUGUUUGUCUAUCUAUAUAUCUAUCUGUCUAUCUCUCUAUCUACUUACCUACCUACCUCUCUGUCGUUCUACCUUUUUGGCUUUCUUUCUGGCUGUUCAUCUGUCUGUCUGGCUGACUGGAUACCAUGCCAGGUUCAACCCAAAAGACCUGCCAGUCAUGCAAGGCACAAAUAAAUGUUGGCUGUAAACACUGCAAGCUGUGUGGGGCUUCUCAGCCCCAGAAAGUGAAAUUGCAGCAGGCCAAAGACAAAGCAUCAAAGGAAUGGGCCCAAAAAAUGUUGAAUGGAAGAAACACCUCAAAGCUGAUAAAUUCCACCAAUCUUCUACUCCACAAGUUUCACAUGUUGGGUUAUUACCCCCUUCUUCUUCUUGGGAGGAGGAAGACGAGGCAGGCCACAAAUUUUAGGGCAGAUGUUUUUUAUCCUCAGCAGUUUUCUUCAGAAAUGGAGAGGACAUCAAUUUCUACAAUUCGUUUGCUGUAUGAAGGUCUUCUAAAAGUGGCUCUUAAUCCAGAAGCCAACCCCAACUCUUCAAAUGCUCCUGAGACCAACACCAGCUCUGCCCAUACUCCUGAGACCAACACCAGCUUUUCACAUGCUCCUGAGACCAACUUCAGCUGUUCAGAUGGUCCUACAGAGAACCCCAGCUCUUCAGUUGCUCCCCUUCAUACUGAACCUACAUACACCUUAAUUCUUACUCCUGUUACAUCUGAAAAGGAAAAUUCCACAGUGGUUCUUAAUCUGGAAGUCAACCCCAGCUCUUCAGAUGAUCCUGAGACCAGCCCCAUCUGUUCAGAUGCUCCUGAGACCAGCCCCUUCUCUUCAGAUGGUCCUGAGGCUAGCCCCAGCUUUUCAGCUCCUCCUGAGCCCCGCAGCAGCUCUUUAGAUGAACUCAAUCCAAUUCUCUCCCCUGUUACAUCUGGAAAUGGGAAUUCCACAGACAAGUACCCCUGCAAGAAAAGAACACAAGAAGUAACACCAAAUGUGUCCAGCUCGACAUUUAAUCGUACUUUUCCCUGCAAGAAAAGAAGAAUAAAGAUCAACCCAAGUGAAUGCCCUGUCCACACUAUGGCUGACACCUACCCAGUCCAAAAAAUUUUAUCACAGAGGGUAUCAAAAGAGGUUUGUGAUUUGCCAUUUCUGAGAUGCUCCAGAUGCCCAGGCUUCUGAUGAUUUGGUCACUCAGGUCUUCAAUCUUGCCGAUUUCUCCCUAGAACCAACAUGCUGACUAUGAGAAGCAACUGUUCAGUUGUAAUGUAUCACAAACCUUGACAUGCGUCACUGUCAUAAUAUCGGUGUUUGCUUCAUCUGUGAGUGGUCAUAAUGUUUUUUACUUUGAGGUGUAUAAAUCUUGUGAUUUUAUGAUGAGUAUUAUCUUGAAACUGAUGCUGUUUAUUGUUCUGUCUUUGAGAUGACAAUAUUUGUAGCCAAGUCCUAGACUGAAUGAAACCACUGUGGUAUUGUGUGUCGAUUCAGCAUAAUGUCUUAGAAGAUGUUGUGGUGUAUUUGUAGCGAGACCAGGUCAGUAACACUGUAAUUGGACUGUGGAGUGUAAUGAAUAAUUUAUAUUUCAUCAUAGGGCACAAAAGAGGUCAAAGUCCGUUGGCAGCAGUGUUCUGGGUGUGGCAUCAAGUGGAAAGACACAUGGGAGCCUUUCAACGAGAUAUUCCCGUAGUAAUGAUUUGAAAUAAUACUCUAAAUUAUUCAUUUUGGAAUUUUGAUGUU